rnacentral:tRNA from 1 species
GAGGUUAUGGUUCAGAGGUAGAGCGCGUGCUUAGCAUGCACAAGGUCCUGGGUUCAAUCCCCAGUACCUCCA